rfam:Ixodes scapularis strain Wikel colony gcontig_1107729143446, whole genome shotgun sequence.
ACCUGGUUAGCUCAGUUGGUAGAGCGCUCCACUUGUAAUGGAGAGGUCCCGGGUUCGAUACCCGGACCAGGCG